CCUGAUUCUUGACUUCAUGUCUGAGUUAGGGAGUAAACCACCUCAAAUGCUAUUUGUUUCAAAGCCUUUCCUAGACCUGGGUGUGUCAAAGUUCCCAAAGGGUCUCAAAAGUACCUGGGGAAAUGCUUACACCCAAUUUUGCAGGUCCAUAUAGAGAUGAGUGCAGUGUUGAAGGGCCAACCCUUGUGUGUCCAAGUUUAGAGGGAGCUCAUGGGUCCCAACGCAAGGCUCACACAAGAGGCGCAAAACCUAAGUCGAAGAAUAUAAAGGAAGUAUAGGAAUAGAGGUUUAUAACUGAGUGGAGAAUAGAGAGGGGUAAGGGUGAUUAGAAAAUAGUAGUAGUAAAGAUAACACUACACAAAAUCAACUUUUUUAUACAAAGGGUAACGGGGCUUGGGAAUAAAUUAGAGGGAACAUAUGACUUUAGGAAGGGGUCAGGUUUGGGCAUGCACAACAAUAGGUGGUGUUGGCAUGCCCAUGAACUAGCUGGAGAAUACAACACAUAUAUGGGAUAUGAAGGUUAUGACCCUGGGGAAGGUCAGGUUUAGGUUAUUCACAACAAUAUCUAAUGCUGGCAUGCCCCUAAACCCACCGAGGAAUACAAACACAUAAAGGAUAUAGGGGUUAUGACCCCAGGGAGGGUCAGGUAUGGGUUCUGCACAGCAAUAUCUAAUGCUGACAUGCCCCCAAUCCAAUCGAGGAAUACAAACACAUAAGGGAUAUGGUGGUUUGUGAUUCAUAAGUCAAAAUAAGUGACUAACAGAGUUGCUACAUAAGAAAACAUUAAGUCAGAAGGCAAAGGGGCAUAUUAUAGCAUGCUUAGUAAUGGAACUUGAUUAAACACAAGCAGCAAACAUGCAAGAAUGAAGGAAAUAGUAAAGAAACAUGUUGUUGUUGAUGCUGAAAAAUUAAUUAGAACAUACCAGAAAAAAAGAAAAUGCAGAAAGAAAAGUAAGCAAAUUUAUCACAUGCCAGCCUUGGCUUUCAGCCGGCUAGACAAGGCAGAAACACAAGUAGUAACCGAGAAAAAAGAGAAUGUUUUGAGUGAAGUAUAUGUUCUGAACUCAAGUGUUUUGUUCCUUAUGUACGUGUCGUGUGUUUGAAAGAACAAGGGUGAAAGGUAUUUAUAGCUUUUUGAAAACAAGGGAAGAAAGGUAAUAAGUAGAGUUAUAGAACAAAUAUAGAAACAAUCUCCAGUCAGAAUCAAUUACCCAAGUGACUCCUUUUAAUUAAGGAAUCACUAUUUGACGGGUAGUAAAAAAUUCAAAUAAGGAAAAAAAUUAGUUUAUAUACAAAAUGAUUAUUGCCAUAAAAGGAGUAGCAAAUAGAUUAAGUAAGCAAUUGAGUCUAAGUAUAGAAAUAUGGUUAUUUUUGAAAUAGAUUUAGCAAGGAAAAUAUUACAAUAAUGGGAAAAGAAUCAAUCAAUUUUGAACGGGUGAGUGAAAUCAGGGCUUAUAAAAAGGAAAACAUUAGAAAUCAAUCACAAGACUGUGAUCAAUCAAAUAAGAGGCUUUAUCAUAUAAAUAAAGUGAACAGGGUCAUCAGACAUGCGAGGCCAACAUAUUGACAAAAGAGAUAAUCACAAACAUGCAGCAGUGACAAAAAUAAGCUAGGGUUCAGUAGUAAAGCAAAUAUUCGAAGCACAUUACUCAAGUAGGCCGAAUUACAUUAAAUACAUAGGGAAGAAAAUAGAGCAUCCAAAAU
rnacentral:lncRNA from 1 species